AAUGUGAAAUGCCAUAGUACAGCCAACGAGAAACGCCACAGCUCAACCAAUGAGAAAUGCCACAGCUCAGCCAAUGAGAAAUGCCACAGCUCAGCCAAUGAGAAAUGCUACAGCUCAGCCAA